rnacentral:rRNA from 1 species
UACGUAGGGGGCAAGCGUUGUCCGGAUUUAUUGGGCGUAAAGAGCGUGUAGGCGGUUAGGUAGGUCCGUUGUGAAAACUCGAGGCUCAACCUCGAGACGCCGAUGGAAACCAUCUAACUAGAGUCCGGAAGAGGAGAGUGGAAUUCCUGGUGUAGCGGUGAAAUGCGCAGAUAUCAGGAAGAACACCCGUGGCUAAGGCGGCUCUCUAGUACGGUACUGACGCUGAGACGCGAAAGCGCGGGAGCGAACAGG